rnacentral:lncRNA from 10 species
GAGUGCUAAGAAAGCUCAUUGGUGGAAAAGAAGCCUUUUCAAGAAAUGGUGUUGGAGAAACUUGAUUUCCACAUGCAGAAGAAUGAAGGUGGACCCUAUGUCACACCAGGUGCAAAAAUUAACACAAACUGGAUCAAAGACCUCACCCCAAGUGCUAAAAGUAUCAUACGCCUAAAAGAAAACAUUGGCCAUGCUUUCAUGACAUCAGAUUGGGCAAUGUUCUCUGGGAUAUGACACCAAAAGCAUAGGCAACAAAAGAAAAUUAGAUUCCUUGGAUUACAUCUAAAUGACAGACACUUUUGUGCAGCAAAAAACACUGUGAACUGAGUGAAAAGAUAACCCAUGGAUUAGGAAAAAUAUUUGCAAAGCAUAUAUCUGAAAAGAGGCUGAUAUCCAUCAUAUAUAAAGAACAGCUAGAACUAAACAACAAGAAACCCAAAGCAUCCCAUCAACAAUGGUCAGAAGACUCGAGUAGACGUGUUCCUAAAGAAGAUUCGAGUAGACGUGUUCCUAAAGAAGAUAUAGCAAUGGCCAAUAAGCAUCGAAAAUGAUGUUCAAAAUCACUCAUCAUAGGGAAGUGCAAAUCAAACCAAGAAUGUGAUACCACACAUUAGGAUGGAUAUGAUAAACAAACAAGCAUUGGUGAGACUAGAGGGAAGUAGGAAUGCUCGAAUAUGAUCGGAGGGAAUGUAAAACCGUGAAGGAACGGGGAAAAUAGUAUGGCGUCUACUGGAAAAAUUAGAAACAGAAUGAUCAGAUGUUCCCACAGUUGCAUUUGUGGGUAGCUACCAAAAAGAAUUAGAAGCCAGGAGUGGAAGACAGAUUUGUGUACACCCAUAUUCAUAGCAGCAGUAUUCACAACAGCCAAAAUGUGGAAGCAACCCAAGGGUUCGUGGACAGAUGAAUGAAAAAGCACACUGCAGUUCCUUCAUACAAUGGAAGACUAUUCAGCCUUAAUAGUCUUCCAGAAGGCAGGCACUUCUGGCAGGUGCGGUGGCUCACACCUGUAAUCGCAGCGUCUUGGAAGACCGAGGUGGGCAGAUCACCUGAGGUCAGGAAUUCAAGACCAGCCUGGCCAUCUUGGUGAAACCCUGUCUCUACUGAAAAUGCAAAAAAUGAGACGAGCGUGGUGGCAUGUGCCUGUAGUCCCAACUACUCGGGAGGCUGAGGAACAUGAAUGGUUGGAACCAGGGAGGCGGAGGUUGCAGUGAGCCCAGAUUGUGCCACUGCACUCCAGCCUGUGCGACAGAGUGAGACUCCAUGGAAACACAAAACAAAACAAAGUCAAACGAACAAACAAACAAAAAAAACAAAAAACAGAGACGCACUUCUGAGGCAGGCCGCAACAUGGAUGAACCUUGAAAACAUUAUCGUCAGUGAAAUAAAUAAAUCCCAAAAGGAUAAACACGCCCAGGCUCAGUGGCUCACACCUGUAACCCCAGCACUUUGGGAGGCUGAGCCAGGUGGAUCACUUAAGGUCAGGAGUUCGAGACCAGCCUGGCCAAUAUGGUCCCUAUUAAAAAUACAAAAAUUAGCUGGGCGUGGUGGCGCACGCCUGUAAUCCCAGCUACUCCAGAGACUGAGACACAAGAAUCGCUUGAACCCACGAUGUGGAGGUUGCAGUGAGGCGACAUCACGCCACUGCACUCCAGCCGGGGUGACAGAAAAAGACUCUGUUUCCAAAACAAUAAAACACAGUUUGAUUCCACUUAUCUAUCAAGUGUCUAGAGUAGUUAAAUUCAUAGAGUUGCAAACUAGAAAGGUGGCCUCCAGGGGUGGGCGAGAGAGAGGAGUGGAGAGCUUGGUGAAUGGGUGCAAUUUACAUUUUGAAAGAUAAAACUGUGUUGGAGACGAUGGCAGUGAUGGUUGGUAAACAAUGUGAACGUACUUAAUGUCAUGAAACUGUAAACUGAAAAAGCAUGGAAAUUAUAAAUGUUUAUACCGGCCAUUCUAUAUGAACUAAUAUAUAUUUAUAAUUUUAAAUAUUUAUGCGUG